CAGUCGCCACGGUAAUACGAAGGGGGCUAGCGUUGCUCGGAAUGACUGGGCGUAAAGGGCGCGUAGGCGGCGAUCAAAGUCAGGCGUGAAAUUCCUGGGCUCAACCUGGGGGCUGCGCUUGAUACUUGGUUGCUUGAGUGGGGAAGAGGGUCGUGGAAUUCCCAGUGUAGAGGUGAAAUUCGUAGAUAUUGGGAAGAACACCGGUGGCGAAGGCGGCAACCUGGUCCAUGACUGACGCUGAGGCGCGAAAGCGUGGGGAGCAAACAGGAUUAGAUACCCCCGUAGUCCCUGUCUCUUAUAC
rnacentral:rRNA from 1 species